UUAACUCAAAUUUGUAUGGAGUCGGAACGUUUGCCUACGUUUGCCGCUAGGGGCGCUGUUCCAACUGCAUACAAAUAUGAGUUA
rnacentral:pre_miRNA from 1 species